UACGAAGGGGGCUAGCGUUGCUCGGAAUCACUGGGCGUAAAGCGCACGUAGGCGGGUCCUUAAGUCAGGGGUGAAAUCCCGGAGCUCAACUCCGGAACUGCCUUUGAUACUGGGGAUCUUGAGUCCGGAAGAGGUGAGUGGAACUCCGAGUGUAGAGGUGAAAUUCGUAGAUAUUCGGAAGAACACCAAGUGGCGAAGGCGGCUCACUGGUCCGGUACUGACGCUGAGGUGCGAAGGCGUGGGGAGCGAACGGGG
rnacentral:rRNA from 1 species